UGGGGAAUCUUCCGCAAUGGACGAAAGUCUGACGGAGCAACGCCGCGUGAGUGAUGACGGCCUUCGGGUUGUAAAGCUCUGUUAAUCGGGACGAAUGGUUCUUGUUCGAAUAGUGCAAGGAUUUGACGGUACCGGAAUAGAAAGCCACGGCUAACUACGUGCCAGCAGCCGCGGUAAUACGUAGGUGGCAAGCGUUGUCCGGAAUUAUUGGGCGUAAAGCGCGCGCAGGCGGAUUGGUCAGUCUGUCUUAAAAGUUCGGGGCUUAACCCCGUGAUGGGAUGGAAACUGCCAAUCUAGAGUAUCGGAGAGGAAAGUGGAAUUCCUAGUGUAGCGGUGAAAUGCGUAGAUAUUAGGAAGAACACCAGUGGCGAAGGCGACUUUCUGGACGAAAACUGACGCUGAGGCGCGAAAGCCAGGGGAGCGAACGGG
rnacentral:rRNA from 1 species